UGGGGAAUAUUGGACAAUGGGCGAAAGCCUGAGCCAGCCAUGCCGCGUGUGUGAAGAAGGUCUUCGGAUUGUAAAGCACUUUAAGUUGGGAGGAAGGGCAGUAAGCGAAUACCUUGCUGUUUUGACGUUACCGACAGAAUAAGCACCGGCUAACUCUGUGCCAGCAGCCGCGGUAAUACAGAGGGUGCAAGCGUUAAUCGGAAUUACUGGGCGUAAAGCGCGCGUAGGUGGUUCGUUAAGUUGAAUGUGAAAGCCCCGGGCUCAACCUGGGAACUUCAUCCAAAACUGGCGAGCUAGAGUAGGGCAGAGGGUGGUUGAAUUUCCUGUGUAGCGGUGAAAUGCGUAGAUAUAGGAAGGAACACCAGUGGCGAAGGCGACCACCUGGGCUCAUACUGACACUGAGGUGCGAAAGCGUGGGGAGCAAACAGG
rnacentral:rRNA from 1 species